rnacentral:rRNA from 1 species
UACGUAGGGUGCGAGCGUUAAUCGGAAUUACUGGGCGUAAAGCGUGCGCAGGCGGUGAUGUAAGACAGUUGUGAAAUCCCCGGGCUUAACCUGGGAAUUGCGCUUGAAACUAGCGGGCUUGAGUGUGGCAGAGGGGGGUGGAAUUCCACGUGUAGCAGUGAAAUGCGUAGAGAUGUGGAGGAACACCGAUGGCGAAGGCAGCCCCCUGGGUCAACACUGACGCUCAUGCACGAAAGCGUGGGGAGCAAACAGG